rnacentral:rRNA from 1 species
AUGGUCUUUGUCAUGUGGGCUAUAUGGCAUUCAAGAAAUCAAGUCACCUAUCACGAUGAUCAACUGGAUCCGUUCGUGCUAGUUCAGCGCAUCAAAGAGGACCUGGUCGUGCUUGAUAUUCCACUGUCUCAUGCUUCGGUGUUGCCAGGCCAUGGAUGGACUCCUCCGGAGAUAGGGCUGGUCAAAAUUCACACUAAUGUGGCUGUGAGUAUGAACUCCGACAAGGUGGGAGCGGGUGGUGUUGCACGAUCUUCCACGGCUUUGUUGGGUGCAUGGAGCAAACCCCAUGUGGGGGUUACUGAUCCGUUCUUUGGGGAAACCUUGGCAUUACACGAUGGAGUGAUUUUUGCUAAUCUUCGUGGUUUCUCUCAUGUGGUUAUGGAAGCAGACUGCCUGGAGAUUGCUAAUCUCUGGAAACAUCGUCACAAUAGCUUAUCUGUUGUGGCACCGAUACUUUUAGAAAUUGAAGAGCUAGCUUCAUCUUUUGUUUCUUUUCAUGUUCAACAUGUAAUCAGAUCAGCCAAUGUACCGGCCCAUGUUUGUGCAAAACAUGCAUGCACAUUGCUGGUCACCGAAAGUUGGACUGAUUCUAGACCCUCUUUCCUGCUUACUAGCCUUCUGGCUGAUGAUCCCAGGAGCACUUUUGUUGAAUAA